rnacentral:rRNA from 1 species
UGGGGUAAAGGCUUACCAAGGCAAUGAUGCGUAGCCGAACUGAGAGGUUGAUCGGCCACAUUGGGACUGAGACACGGCCCAAACUCCUACGGGAGGCAGCAGUAGGGAAUCUUCCACAAUGGGCGAAAGCCUGAUGGAGCAACGCCGCGUGGGUGAAGAAGGUCUUCGGAUCGUAAAACCCUGUUGUUAGAGAAGAAAGUGCGUGAGAGUAACUGUUCACGUUUCGACGGUAUCUAACCAGAAAGCCACGGCUAACUACGUGCCAGCAGCCGCGGUAAUACGUAGGUGGCAAGCGUUAUCCGGAUUUAUUGGGCGUAAAGGGAACGCAGGCGGUCUUUUAAGUCUGAUGUGAAAGCCUUCGGCUUAACCGGAGUAGUGCAUUGGAAACUGGGAGACUUGAGUGCAGAAGAGGAGAGUGGAACUCCAUGUGUAGCGGUGAAAUGCGUAGAUAUAUGGAAGAACACCAGUGGCGAAAGCGGCUCUCUGGUCUGUAACUGACGCUGAGGUUCGAAAGCGUGGGUAGCAAACAGGAUUAGAUACCCUGGUAGUCCACGCCG